rnacentral:lncRNA from 10 species
UGCGUGAUCAGUGCAGAGAUAUUUCACAAUGCCCCUGCAGGCAGAGUGUAAGCAAGAGUUACAUCACCUAGAUGAUCAGUGCAGAGAUAUGUCACAAGGCCCCCUAUACGCAGAGUCGGACAAGAGUUACAUCACCUCAGUGAUCAAUGCAGUGAUAUGUCACUAUGCCCCGUAGGCAGAGCCUAGUCAAGCGUUACAUCACCUGGGUGAUUACUGCAGAGAUAUGUCACAAAGUCCCCAUACACAGAGCCUAGACAAGAGUCCCAUCACCUGGGUGAUCAGUGCAGAAAUAUGUCACAAUGCCCCUAUAGGCCGAUCGAAGACAAGAGUCCUUCACCUGGGUGAUCAGUGCAGAAAUAUGUCACAAUGCCCCCUUAGGCAGAGCCUAGAUAAAAGCCCCAUCACCUGGAUGAUCAGUGCAGAGUUAUGUCACAAAUUCCCUUUAGGCAGAUCCUAGAGAAAGGUUACAUCACUUGGAUGAUCAGUGCAGAGAUAUGUCACUAUGCUACAGUAGGCAGAGCCUAGACUAGAGUUACAUGACCUCGGUGAUCAGUGCAGAGAUACAUCGCAAUGUCCCUGUAGGCAGAGCCUUGACAAGUGGUACAUCACCUGGGUGAUCAUUGCAGGGAUAUGUCACAAAGCACCCUGUAGGCAGAUCCUAGAAAAGAGUUACAUCACCUAGGUGAUCAGUGCAGAGAUUUGUCAGAAUUCCCUGUAGGCAGUGCUUAUAAAAGUGUUACAUCACCUAGGUGAUCAGUGCAGAGAUUUGUCAAAAUUCCCUGUAGGCAGUGCUUAUAAAAGUGUUACAUCACCUAAGUGAUCAGUGCAGAGAUAUGUCACAAAGCUCCUGUAGGCAGAACUUGGAUGAGUUAUAUCACCUGGGUUAUCAGUGCAAAGGUAUGUCACAAAGCCCCCUGUAGGCAAAGCCUAGACAAUAGUUACAACAGUUGGUUGAUCAGUGGCGAGAUCUCUCACAAUUACCCUGUAGGCAGAGCUUAUACAACAGUUACAUCACCUGGGUGAUCAGUGCAGAGAUAUGUCACAAUGCCCCCAUAGGCAGAUCCAAGACAAGAGUCCAUCACCUGGGUGAUCAGUGCAGAAAUAUGUCACAAUGCCCCCUUAGGCAGAUCCUAGACAAAAGCCCCAUCACCUGGAUGAUCAGUGCAGAGUUAUGUCACAAAGUCCCGUUAGGCAGAUCCUGGAGAAGAGUUACAUCACUCGGGUGAUCAGUGCAGAGAUAUGUCACAAUGCCACUGUAGGCAGAGCCUAGACAACGGUUACAUGACCUAGGUGAUCAGUGCAGAGAUACAUCGCAAUGUCCCUGUAGGCAGAGCUUUGACAAGUGGUACAUCACCUGGGUGAUCAUUGCAGGGAUAUGUCACAAAGCACCCUGUAGGCAAAUCCUAGAGAAGAGUUAUAUCACCUGGGUGAUCAGUGCAGAGGUAUGUCACAAAGCCCCUGUAGGCAGAGCCUAAACAAGACUUACAUCACCUGGGUGAUCAGUGCAGAAAUAUGUUACAA